rnacentral:rRNA from 1 species
GACGAACGCUGGCGGCGUGCUUAACACAUGCAAGUCGAACGGAAAGGCCCUGCUUUUGUGGGGUGCUCGAGUGGCGAACGGGUGAGUAACACGUGAGUAACCUGCCCUUGACUUUGGGAUAACUUCAGGAAACUGGGGCUAAUACCGGAUAGGAGCUCCUGCUGCAUGGUGGGGGUUGGAAAGUUUCGGCGGUUGGGGAUGGACUCGCGGCUUAUCAGCUUGUUGGUGGGGUAGUGGCUUACCAAGGCUUUGACGGGUAGCCGGCCUGAGAGGGUGACCGGCCAAAUUGGGACUGAGAUACGGCCCAGACUCCUACGGGAGGCAGCAGUGGGGAAUAUUGCACAAUGGGCGGAAGCCUGAUGCAGAACGCCGCGUGCGGGAUGACGGCCUUCGGGUUGUAAACCGCUUUCGCCUGUGACGAAGCGUGAGUGACGGUAAUGGGUAAAGAAGCACCGGCUAACUACGUG